CACCGCGUAGCUCAGUUGGAAGAGCAUUGGGCUAGUAUUCCAAAGGUCGUAGGUUCGAAUCCCACCGUGGCCG